rnacentral:lncRNA from 1 species
GCGAGUGCGGAAAAUAAAUAAUUUAAAGUGAGUGCGAGGAAAUAAAUAAUUUAAAGCGAGUGCGAGGAAAUAAAUAAAAGUAAAGCGAGUGUGAGGAAAUAAAUAAAAGUAAAGCGAGUGCGGAAAUAAAUAAUUUAAAGCGAGUGCGAGGAAAUAAAUAAAAGUAAAGCGAGUGCGAGGAAAUAAAUAAAAGUAAAGCGAGUGUGGGAAAAUAAAUAAGAUAAAGACAAGUAAUAAAAAC